rnacentral:rRNA from 1 species
UCACGAAGCAAUCGGAAGUGGUUCCAAGAAAAGCCUCUAAGCUUCAGUCAUACGAGACCGUACCGCAAACCGACACAGGUGGGCGAGAUGAGUAUUCUAAGGCGCUUGAGAGAACUCGGGAGAAGGAACUCGGCAAAUUGGUACCGUAACUUCGGGAAAAGGUACGCCCCGGUAGCUUGAUUGGUUUACUCCAUGAGGGUGAAAGGGUUGCAAUAAACUGGUGGCUGCGACUGUUUAAUAAAAACACAGCACUCUGCAAACACGAAAGUGGACGUAUAGGGUGUGACGCCUGCCCGGUGCUGGAAGAUUAAAUGAUGGGGUGCAAGCUCUUGAUUGAAGUCCCAGUAAACGGCGGCCGUAACUAUAACGGUCCUAAGGUAGCGAAAUUCCUUGUCGGGUAAGUUCCGACCUGCACGAAUGGCGUAACGAUGGCCACACUGUCUCCUCCCGAGACUCAGCGAAGUUGAAAUGUUUGUGAUGAUGCAAUCUACCCGCGGCUAGACGGAAAGACCCCAUGAACCUUUACUGUAGCUUUGCAUUGGACUUUGAACCAAUCUGUGUAGGAUAGGUGGGAGGCUUUGAAGCGGGGACGCUAGUUCUCGUGGAGCCAACCUUGAAAUACCACCCUGGUUUGUUUGAGGUUCUAACCUUGGUCCGUUAUCCGGAUCGGGGACAGUGCAUGGUAGGCAGUUUGACUGGGGCGGUCUCCUCCUAAAGUGUAACGGAGGAGUUCGAAGGUACGCUAGAUACGGUCGGACAUCGUGUUGAUAGUGCAAUGGCAUAAGCGUGCUUAACUGCGAGACUGACAAGUCGAGCAGGUACGAAAGUAGGACAUAGUGAUCCGGUGGUUCUGUAUGGAAGGGCCAUCGCUCAACGGAUAAAAGGUACUCUGGGGAUAACAGGCUGAUUCCUCCCAAGAGUUCAUAUCGACGGGGGAGUUUGGCACCUCGAUGUCGGCUCAUCACAUCCUGGGGCUGUAGCCGGUCCCAAGGGUAUGGCUGUUCGCCAUUUAAAGUGGUACGUGAGCUGGGUUUAAAACGUCGUGAGACAGUUUGGUCCCUAUCUGCCGUGGGCGUUGGAAAUUUGAAGGGGGCUGCUCCUAGUACGAGAGGACCGGAGUGGACGAACCUCUGGUGUACCGGUUGUCACGCCAGUGGCAUUGCCGGGUAGCUAAGUUCGGAAGAGAUAACCGCUGAAAGCAUCUAAGCGGGAAACUUGCCUUGAGAUGAGAUUUCCCAGAGCCUUGAGCUCUUUGAAGGGUCGUUCGAGACCAGGACGUUGAUAGGCUGGGUGUGGAAGUGCAGUAAUGCAUUAAGCUAACCAGUACUAAUUGCCCGUACGGCUUGUCCCUAUAACCUUAGCAGGU